rnacentral:rRNA from 1 species
CCUACGGGGGGCAGCAGUGAGGAAUAUUGGUCAAUGGUCGGGAGACUGAACCAGCCAAGCCGCGUGAGGGAUGAAGGUACAGAGUAUCUUAAACCUCUUUUGUCAGGGAACAAAGGCGGGGACGUGUCCCCGGAUGAGUGUACCUGAAGAAAAAGCAUCGGCUAACUCCGUGCCAGCAGCCGCGGUAAUACGGAGGAUGCGAGCGUUAUCCGGAUUUACUGGGUUUAAAGGGUGCGCAGGCGGGCUGUUAAGUCAGCGGUUAAAGGCCGGGGCUCCAACCCGGGCCCGCGGUUGAAAUUGGCAGUCUGGAGUUGGAGAGAAGUAUGCGGAAUGCGCGGUGUAGCGGUGAAAUGCAUAGAUA